rnacentral:tRNA from 1 species
AGUGGCUGUGUAAAUCAGCUUGAUUUGAUUAAGUAUUAAAUUACUUUUGUUUUUAAUGGAUUGGUUA